ACGCACGCUGGCGGCAUGCCUAACACAUGCAAGUCGAACGAACCCUUCGGGGUUAGUGGCGCACGGGUGCGUAACGCGUGGGAAUCUGCCCUUUGCUUCGGAAUAACUCAGGGAAACUUGUGCUAAUACCGGAUGAUGUCUUCGGACCAAAGAUUUAUCGGCAAGGGAUGAGCCCGCGUAGGAUUAGGUAGUUGGUGGGGUAAAGGCCUACCAAGCCGACGAUCCUUAGCUGGUCUGAGAGGAUGAUCAGCCACACUGGGACUGAGACACGGCCCAGACUCCUACGGGAGGCAGCAGUGGGGAAUAUUGGACAAUGGGCGCAAGCCUGAUCCAGCAAUGCCGCGUGAGUGAUGAAGGCCCUCGGGUCGUAAAGCUCUUUUACCAGGGAUGAUAAUGACAGUACCUGGAGAAUAAGCUCCGGCUAACUCCGU
rnacentral:rRNA from 1 species